GGAUCGCAGUCUGCAACUCGACUGCAUGAAGCUGGAAUCGCUAGUAAUCGCGAAUCAGAAUGUCGCGGUGAAUACGUUCCCGGGCCUUGUACACACCGCCCGUCACACCAUGGGAGUUGGAAGCACCCGAAGUCGGUGACCUGACCGAAAGGGAGGAGCCGCCGAAGGUGAAGCCAGCGACUGGGGUGAAGUCGUAACAAGGUAUC
rnacentral:rRNA from 1 species